rnacentral:tRNA from 1 species
GGAGCGGUGGCCGAGCGGUUGAAGGCGUACGCUUGGAAAGCGUAUUUACGGCCCAAAGCCGUAACGUGGGUUCGAAUCCCACCCGCUCCGCCA